CUUUCUCAAAAUUAAAAUCGAACCCCGAUUCAAAAACCCACCAUUUCUAAAUUUCCAUUUUCGAUCUUCUCAAAAGAAAAUUUUCCGAGAAAGAGAGAGAGAGAGAUAGAGAGUGGGAGAUGACAAUGGACAGAGAGAAGGAGAGAGAGAUAGAGCUCGAAAGUGCAAUGUACACGAAUUGCUUGCUUUUAGGUUUGGAUCCGUCGAUAAUAGGACUCGGAGCCUCCAACGGAACCCCUCGGGUCGGACUAUUCCGUCAUUCUAACCCUAAAUUAGGCGAACAGCUUCUUUACUUCAUCCUCUCUUCUCUUCGUGGCCCCACUCAAUCCGCCAGAGAUUUCGAUAGAGUUUGGCCGAUUUUUGACUCAGCGCAAUCUCGUGAUUUUCGAAAGGUUGUGCAAGGGAUAAUUAGUGAGCUGGAAGCACAAGGAGCUCUACCGAGGAGUAAUUCGAGGGUUUCUUCGCUUGCUACUUGCUGUGGACCAAGAUUUGUUGAGCUUUUGUGGCAACUUUCAUUGCAUGCUUUGAGAGAGGUUCAUAGACGGACUUUUUCAGCUGAUGUUGCUUCUAACCCAUUGCCUGCACCCUUGACUGAUGUUGCAUUUUCACAUGCUGCUACACUGCUUCCAGUGACAAAGGCUAGAAUAGCACUUGAAAGGAGGAGAUUUCUGAAAAAUGCAGAAACAGCUGUGCAGAGACAGGCUAUGUGGUCAAAUUUGGCUCAUGAAAUGACUGCAGAGUUUCGUGGUCUUUGUGCUGAGGAGGCUUAUCUGCAGCAGGAGCUCGAAAAACUACAUGACUUGAGGAACAAAGUGAAGUUGGAAGGGGAGCUAUGGGAUGAUCUUGUCUCUACUUCAAGUCAGAAUUCUCAUUUGGUUUCAAAGGCCACUCGGUUAUGGGAGUCUAUAUUAGCUCGUAAAAGUCAGCAUGAAGUUCUUGCUUCAGGCCCUAUUGAAGAUUUGAUAGCUCAUCGGGAGCAUAGGUACCGCAUCUCCGGAUCAUCUUUGCUUGCAGCCUUGGAUCAGAGUUCUCAAGCUCCUUAUACAGACGUCUUAUCCAUUCAGUCUGGUGAUAUGGAUGAUAAAGAACAGAAUGAUGGAUAUCACGCACAGGUCAAUGAAGAGACACUUUCUCGGGUAGAUGAUAGAAGUGGAAGAGUCCACCAGACUGUUGACGUAGCAGAAAUUAUCAGACGUUGGACGCAUGCGUUACAACGCAUUCAUAAACAGUCACUUCAGCUGGCAAAAGCUAAUGACGGAGAGGGUCCUGAUAUCUUACGAAGUGCACAUGAUGGUAGCACAAGUGGGCAUGCUGAGUCAUUAGCUGCAACUCUUGCUGAGCAUCAACAGCACCUGGCUAGCUUUCAGGUGCUUAUUAACCAAUUAAAGGAAGUUGCUCCAGCAAUUCAGAAGUCAAUAUCAGAGUGUACAGAGAAAGUGAAUUGUGUUUCCUCCAACUUGCCAUCUAUGGGCAAGCAUCGUGGUCAAGCCAGCUCACCUAUUCAAGCUCAGAGCAGUGGAAGGACCUUGGAAAGUAGCUCUGAUGAUGUCAGUGACAUUACUUCCAAAAUGUCUACUGUUCAGCUAGACAAGGUUUCAGCUAGUCCUCCUGCUUUAAAGCUCCCUCAGUUAUUUAGUUUAACCCCAAAUUCAUCUGGAAAAGGUGGAAACAUGCAAAAGCGACAUACUUUAGCUCCUCAGACCAACCAAACGGAAAUUUUGUCCGAAAGGAACUCUGUAGACCAGCCUCUACCAAACAAUCGCCUAGAUAGCCCACCCCAAGAUAGUGACAAUUCUUAUGUUCAGAACUUAAAGAGAUCUGUGAGGCAAGCUGCACUGUCAAUGCCAUCCUGCAAUUCAGAGUCAUCACGAGACAGUCAAUCUGAUGAAAGUUCUGAACACUUCUUUGUACCUGUAUCAUCAACAAAGUUUUCUCGUGGGGGGCCAGAAAGUAAAGUGAGCUCGAUAAGGACUAAGAGAUUGUUUUCAACUCAAACAGACAAUUCCUUGCUUGACAGCCAUGGUGGCAAUGGUCAUAUUGGGAGUAACUAUGAUGACUUGCCACACAUGCUGAACAAUCUGGAUUCCCUUAAUGAUUUUGAUCAAGUAAAUGGAUUUCUCUCAGCUGCUGCUUCAAGUUGUACCGCUUCGGAUGGGCAAAGGUCAUUUUUUGACAUGGAAGAAGCUCAGGAUCAGGUCUUCUCCCCUCCUUUGCUGAUGGACACAUCCCUGUUAGCUGAUUCUUAUGAGGAUUUGCUGGCUCCCCUUUCAGAAACCGAAACUGCCUUGAUGGAGCAUUGAGACUGGAGUUUGGACGAUUCUGUUCAGAUGGUUUUGUAUUUUGAUCCUUGGUUGGGAUGUGCAGCACUCUCACAUUGAUUUGUUGUAUGACACGAUGCUUGUAUGUACUUCCAGAGAUGGAUGCACAAUGGGGGCAGCUGCCCCCACUGAUAUCUUAAAGACUUCUUGGAAUGUUGAGGAGUUCUUCGGUAUGAGCACUUUGGUAAGAUCCCUCUUUGAAGCCUCUUGCUUUUUGGGUCACAAUAUGAAGAUAAAAGAGAGACGUUAACUUAUUUUUACUCAUUAGAUCUUAUUUUUCUGUACAUGUUGGACACUUUCAUUCAUGCACAAAAUGACAGGUGACGUUUGUUGCCUGCCAAUCAGGUUUAUUGACUCUGUAUUGUUUAGAUUACUAUGACUGUGAAUUUGUAAAAUGGUGUACAUAACCUUAGCAUUGAUCCCUUUCGGUUUCAGAUUUGAUAUAUGUUUGACCUUUUCUUCUGUGCUGUGCUUGAAGAUGUGGACUUCCCAUUUUGGUCACCAGGUCCGACGUGUAAUGAGUGAUUUGGAUUGUGAUCCUUCACCAACUUCGUACUCAUUGGAUUUCACAGGUGAAUUAUUUAGAAGUUAUAUCAAAUUGUAUAAUUUCUAAAGAGGUCGGAAGAAAAUAUAAUUUAAUUUUUUAAUUUUAAUUGUUAUUAUUAUAAUAUUAUUUGUCAUUUUUAUGUUAUACGGUGACGACGUGA